rnacentral:misc_RNA from 1 species
UUGAAAGGCCACAUAAA